UUGACCUCAAAUCGGGUGAGACUACCCGCUGAACUUAGA
rnacentral:rRNA from 1 species